rnacentral:rRNA from 1 species
AACGAACGCUGGCGGCAUGCCUAACACAUGCAAGUCGAACGAACCCUUCGGGGUGAGUGGCGCACGGGUGCGUAACACGUGGGAACCUGCCCUUAGGUUCGGAAUAACAGCGAGAAAUUGCUGCUAAUACCGGAUAAUGUCUUCGGACCAAAGAUUUAUCGCCUUUGGAUGGGUCCGCGUAGGAUUAGCUAGUUGGUGAGGUAAAGGCUCACCAAGGCGACGAUCCUUAGCUGGUCUUAGAGGAUGAUCAGCCACACUGGGACUGAGACACGGUCCAGACUCCUACGGGAGGCAGCAGUGGGGAAUAUUGGACAAUGGGCGAAAGCCUGAUCCAGCAAUGCCGCGUGAGUGAUGAAGGCCUUAGGGUUGUAAAGCUCUUUUACUGGGGAUGAUAAUGACAGUACCCAGAGAAUAAGCCCCGGCUAACUCCGUGCCAGCCGCCGCGGUAA